rnacentral:rRNA from 1 species
GAUGAACGCUGGCGGCGUGCCUAAUACAUGCAAGUCGAGCGAACGGACGAGAAGCUUGCUUCUCUGAUGUUAGCGGCGGACGGGUGAGUAACACGUGGAUAACCUACCUAUAAGACUGGGAUAACUUCGGGAAACCGGAGCUAAUACCGGAUAAUAUUUUGAACCGCAUGGUUCAAAAGUGAAAGACGGUCUUGCUGUCACUUAUAGAUGGAUCCGCGCUGCAUUAGCUAGUUGGUAAGGUAACGGCUUACCAAGGCAACGAUGCAUAACCGACCUGAGAGGAGGAUCACUCACACUGGAACUGAUACACGGUCCAGACUCCUACGGGAGGCACCAGUGGGGAAGAUUGGACAAUGGACGAAAGCCUGAUCCAGCCAUGCGGCGUGAGUAAAGAAGGUCUUCGGAUUGUAAAGCACUUUAAGUUGGGAGGAAGGGCAGUAAGUUAAUACCUGGCUGUUUUGACGUUACCAACAGAAUAAGCACCGGCUAACUUCGUG